UGAUGGGACAUUUUAUGCAUGCAUACUAGGGGUCCCCUGAACCGUAAACCCUCUAUACGACGGGCUGACUGCUAAGGUGAGGCACCAAAGAUCAUCAGGAACCUCAGCCUUCUGGCCGUGAGUAUCCGUCCCUUGGGGCUGGCGGUCGUGGGGCAGCCUUCGUAGGGAGGCUGUCAAAUACGUUCACCAGGUGAACCUGGCCAGGCCCGGGAGGGAGCAACCUAAGCUUGGACGUGCAGCGCUCGAGGGGUCACGGGUAGGAGUAAAGAGGUUAGGGGGCUUGGUGAAAACUGGGCGUCGAGCCUCGGUGACUCGCCG
rnacentral:SRP_RNA from 1 species